AGGGUUCGAUUCUGGCUCAGGAUGAACGCUGGCGGCGUGCUUAACACAUGCAAGUCGAACGGGAUCCAUCAGGCUUUGCUUGGUGGUGAGAGUGGCGAACGGGUGAGUAAUGCGUGACCGACCUGCCCCAUGCACCGGAAUAGCUCCUGGAAACGGGUGGUAAUGCCGGAUGCUCCAUCACAUCGCAUGGUGUGUUGGGAAAGCCUUUGCGGCAUGGGAUGGGGUCGCGUCCUAUCAGCUUGAUGGCGGGGUAACGGCCCACCAUGGCUUCGACGGGUAGCCGGCCUGAGAGGGCGACCGGCCACAUUGGGACUGAGAUACGGCCCAGACUCCUACGGGAGGCAGCAGUGGGGAAUAUUGCACAAUGGGCGCAAGCCUGAUGCAGCGACGCCGCGUGAGGGAUGGAGGCCUUCGGGUUGUAAACCUCUUUUGUUAGGGAGCAAGGCACUUUGUGUUGAGUGUACCUUUCGAAUAAGCACCGGCUAACUACGUGCCAGCAGCCGCGGUAAUACGUAGGGUGCAAGCGUUAUCCGGAAUUAUUGGGCGUAAAGGGCUCGUAGGCGGUUCGUCGCGUCCGGUGUGAAAGUCCAUCGCUUAACGGUGGAUCCGCGCCGGGUACGGGCGGGCUUGAGUGCGGUAGGGGAGACUGGAAUUCCCGGUGUAACGGUGGAAUGUGUAGAUAUCGGGAAGAACACCAAUGGCGAAGGCAGGUCUCUGGGCCGUUACUGACGCUGAGGAGCGAAAGCGUGGGGAGCGAACAGGAUUAGAUACCCUGGUAGUCCACGCCGUAAACGGUGGAUGCUGGAUGUGGGGCCCGUUCCACGGGUUCCGUGUCGGAGCUAACGCGUUAAGCAUCC
rnacentral:rRNA from 1 species